rnacentral:rRNA from 1 species
AUUGACCGCUUGCGGCAGGCCUAACACAUGCAAGUCGAACGAGUGGCGGACGGGUGAGUAAUGUCUGGGAAACUGCCUGAUGGAGGGGGAUCACUCCUGGAAACGGUAGCUAAUACCGCAUACCAUCGGAUGUGCCCAGCUGGGAUUAGCUAGUAGGUGGGGUAAAGGCUCACCUAGGCGACGAUCCCUAGCUGGUCUGAGAGGAUGACCAGGAACACUGGAAUUGAGACACGGUCCAGACUCCUACGGGAGGCAGCAGUGGGGAAUAUUGCACAAUGGGCGCAAGCCUGAUGCAGCCAUGCCGCGUGUAUGAAGAAGGCGUUAGGGUGGUAAAGUACUUUCAGCGGGGAGGCGUUACCCGCAGAAGAAGCACCGGCGAACUCCGUGCCAGCAGCCGCGGUAAUAC